UACGUAGGGGGCUAGCGUUGUCCGGAAUCAUUGGGCGUAAAGAGCGUGUAGGCGGCUCGGUAAGUCCGCUCUGAAAGCCCGGGGCUCAACCCCGGGAGGCGGGCGGAUACUGUCGGGCUAGAGUCCGGAAGAGGCGAGUGGAAUUCCUGGUGUAGCGGUGAAAUGCGCAGAUAUCGGGAGGAACACCGGUGGCGAAGGCGGUUCUCUGGGCCUUACCUGACGCUGAGGAGCGAAAGCGUGGGGAGCGAACAGG
rnacentral:rRNA from 1 species